rnacentral:rRNA from 1 species
AUAGACUCACCAUAGACUCAAGAGAAUUGGGCAUCCCGUCCGCUCUGCCAUACACAAGCUUGAGAUCGGUGGAUUAGUAGUUGGGUGGGUGACCACCAGCGAAUACCCACUGUUGUAUGUU